GACACUGACAUACACUGACAAAACCACCUUAUGCUCGGUUUUACCUCAUAUUUUGAACAUUGAACAUUGAACAACAAAAAUAUUUCUACUGACUACAGUGUUGUUCUGGCUUGCAGGCCAGCUGCUGCUACCAAUGCCAGAGUGCUUGCUGGGGACCCAAACACCAAGCCCAUAUGUCUUUGUGGGAUGCGAGGCAUUCCCUCUGAGGGUAAACCUGAUGCGACCAUAUCCAGGGUCUUAUGGCCUUGAUGACACUAAGAUCUACAGCUACUGCCACUCAAGAACAGGAAGAAUUUCCGAGAACUGCUUUGGGCUCCUUGCUACAAGACACACGGAUCCUAGAGAAAGCUGAGACCAUUGUGAAGGCCUGUGUGGCCGUCAACAAUUACCUGCACCACAGACAUGUAACAAAAGACAUGUAAAUGUUGGAGUGUGGUUUGGAAAACGUGUUUACAUACAUUCUCUUAUUCUGGUUGAUGUCUGUCAUGUUGAGCUACACAAAAUGGUUUCCCUGUUCUUCUUAUUCACACUUUACAAAUCACAAUAAAGAUUACAAU